CUUUCCAGUCGUCUUAAGACUGCUGGCUAGACAUUCGCUAGUGCGCUACAAACCUCGGCGGCUACGGUAAUUUGUCUGUGGGCUUGGUGAGCGAAGGAGCCGAACAAUGCAAUGUAAUGUAACGAUUCUCCAUGGCGGGAAUGACGUUUCUGCAUACAAUCCGCUCGAAGCUACUGGACGCACUCCGCCCGGGACUAAACAAAUCAUGACGAUUUUAAUUUUAUGACUCCCUUUAUUUACCAUUUCAAUGACACAUUGUUUGCAACGGGCAAACAACGGCCUGCUACUUUCGAUCGAUAUUUGCCGGUCCGGUACGGGGCAAACACCAUCGACAGCAUCCCGAGCGCUUUUGCCGGGAGGCAAGAGUCAUCGCAUCGUCAUCGAGCUGCUGGGCUGCACGCUAAUCGGGAGCUAAUCGAUUAUUCAUGGUACCGUUGCGUUUUUUUUUUUGUUUCUGGCGGGUGAAGCGCGGUGCUGCUGCUUGUUGUUUGCCCGCCCAAUUGGAGGGAAAUGAAUUUACAUAAAUGGAAAGAGCGGGUUCCCAAUAUCUCUCUCUAUUUCUCUCUCUCUCUCUCUCUCUAUCUUUCGCUCUCUCUCUCUCUCUUUCUCUCCCUCUCUCUCUCUCUCUGCCGUUUUAUGGCAGGAUGGGUUGCACUCAUAGAUACACUGCUACCUGCAGUGGAGUGAGCAUCAGUUCAUCUGCAUCGGACUGCAGGCUAUUCGCUCGUAUUUAUGGCGAUCAGUAAAAAGAUGCAGAUCAGUAAAGACAAUAAGGAUGCAACAGUUAACAUUGACACUGGCCAUGUAUUUAUCUUGAUCCAAUCUAAGCAUGCAUAAUGUACAACUUCCGCAGCUGUCAGAAUAGCUCCGUCAGAACCUUCCAUCUCCGCACCACGGUCUUUACACUAUCGUACCUUUUUCCUUCUCCCUUUUUCCACCACUACUCAGGCCAUCAGCACCGUGUGCGUGCAGGUGAAAGGGAAUUUUUGGUUUUGCCGUUGGGGUCUUGUUGGGUCUUAUCUGCUCUCUGCGUUUUGACUCUCGAGGGGCCAACACCCUACCGCCCGCAGAGCUUGAACGGCUUGAUAGGGGUAAUGCCAUGGUUUGCAUUGAGGCUGAAAGUCCCUGACACCACGAUAGCUGCCUGUAAAGCGAGGAAAUAAUCAGCGCAACCUCCCGAGGGCAUUUGAUGUGCCAGCAGCGCCCUAAGCUUUGAACUUUAAUGUUUUUCUAGCUGAAGUAUGCGUGCGUUUGCUACCGUCAGGUAAAAAAAAAGUAGUUUAGGUUUAGUUUAACUCUUCGAAUCAAUAUUUCAUAUUACUGCACAGUAAGUUAAGUGAUUUACACUCAUAUACUUCUAGCAACGGUGGACCUCCUCUGAUAGCUCUUAUCGAAUUUUUUCAUCGGUUUGUUCAUAAAUUAGUUGUGCACAAUAUACGCACAAAACAUAGCGGCAGCAAAUACCGGUGCACUUGGAACUAUAGACAAUUGUCAAUUAUUUUCCAUAAUUUGCUCUGUCGUUUAAAAAAAAAAAGAAUUCAACCGGGUUCGUCGCUUUACUGCCGGUUGAAGUCGUUUGAUUGUAACGGGGCAAGGAAGUAGCAAUUUAACCGCUUCGCGCGCUAUAGCGCUGCUGGACACGUUCGACACUUGUUCCAUGAGUCAUUACCGCUUGCCAAAGUGCCACCCGAACGGUCACCGUCCAAUUUUGGCCACAACAAACGGGCGCUGCAGCUUGCUUUUGGGGCCCUGCGACAGUGUGCAACUCAAUUUACCCCUCAAUCACCUGUCGCUCGAUCCCGGCCAGUACUGUCCCUUCUCCUCUUCUGUGUGUGUAUGUGUGUGUGUGUACGUGCUCAUUGCGUGUGCAUCCGCUGCCACAGUGCGCGCGCGCCCGGCCUAAGCCGAUUGUCGGCUCGAGCGCGGACCCCCGACCAUCUAAGGGUGUGCGCGUCGCGCAGGAAGUCCCGCUUCCUCGGGAGCUUCUCCGGCCUGAAGCCCCCUGCCACGAUGGCAGGCAGGCGGGAUGUGCUGCAUGCUAAUCAGCACGCCGGUCAUCCGGGCGGAGCGGUCUCAUCCGGGGCCUCCCAAAAAAGGGUACACCCUCCCCGGCCGGGUCCCGUGUUUGGUGCGCGUAAUCGUAAUCGCCCGGUCCCGAAAUGGACGGCUGAAGCGCGCGCGACCCCGCAGACCUCGUACCAUUGACACCUCGCAUCAUGCGCGCGCACACACAUACGCACAGAGAUACAUUGUUUGCGCUUUGCGCCCGACGCUGGCUGCAUGCGUAACGAGGGCUCAGAGCGAGCCCAGGGCCGUGGGGUUUUGAUGGGCAGGGAGCCACGAAAAUUCGUUGAAGCAGCGUGCUUUUUGUGUGUGUGUGUGUGUUUUAUAAUUAUUCAUUCAUUUUCAUUCUUUCCUAUUGCGUUCUUUAUGAGGGCGUACGUACACCUUCCGUGCGCGUCUUCCUUUGGCCGUGUCCCCUAGUCCCUGGCCGCGAGAGCCAUUCUACAGCGGUGGGGCCGAGGAUGGUACGUGAUCCGGGUGCCAAAUAGUUGGCGGUGGUGGAUCCCUAAUCCGAUGUCUUGCUGCGUAACACCGGCACCACGGCUCAAUCAGUUUCGAGCGAGCAGCGAACCGUGAAGCAUCGGCGUCAAACAGGAUCAUCCCCUUCUGGCUAUUUGCCUCUGGUGUUACCAAAACUCUGACUGCGGAUUUAUGCCCCCGUGUGUGUGUGUGUGUGUGUGUGUGUGUGUGUGUGUAUGUGUCUGUGUCUGUGGGUGUAAAAAAAGGUUUCAAAGUUCUUGGCAAAGCGCCCCUCAAAUUGGCAACUUGGCAAGAUGUUGGCAUAGCUAAAAGAUUUGGAUUUAGCUAUUCAACUUCUUGUUUAUUUUUCCAAUUUACUUACAUCGAGAACCCGGUGGCCGUCUGUGACGGCCCGGGCAAAAGAACAUACCCCCUCCCUACCUCCCUGUCCGGAAUGUGCAACUAUCAACCACGUGUCAACUAUUCAAAACUCCCCAAGGCUGCAGCGCCAUCUAUCAGCUACCGGGGUGAAUCUCGAGGCUUGAAGCCGCAGCAGACGAAGAUUCUCCAGUACACCAAAAUGAAGCCGCCAGACAAAUGUACCGUCGACUCUUCACCGUCUCCAGCAAAACCCGCUCACCAGGGGAACGGCUACGUUACGGUAUUCGCCUCACUAACCUACUGCCAGCAGCCAGCUCCAAUUGCAGCGAAGCCCAGCCCGUUGGCGAAAGUUGACAGGUGUGCACAAGGAGCCACAUUCCACAUUCUCUUGUUGUGCCGUUCUGUGUCCCACACGAAUUCCCAAAAAAAAAAACUUUCCCAUCUGCGCUAGCGGAUGUAAAAAUUAAUGAGCUAACCUCGAAAGAACAACGCACGCGGAAAAACAGGUAUAAAUCGUGUGGUACGCGUUUCCCGCCAUUCCUCUUGGUAAUAUAUUAUUUAUGAUUUUUCAUCUAUCCGCACCGGACGCCCCAGCCGCUUAGAUGAUGGGUGUGUGUGUGUGUGUGUGAGUGUAACGGGGACGUACCGGAGCAGCAUUACGGCAAUCGGCACGAACGUCACGGUUUCCUGGUUCCAAAAUUAAGCAGCGAUUUUAAUCAACAGGUUUGGGCCGGGAGGUUUGCGGCUGAUGUGAGUGCAUUAGCUAAUAGCGGUGCGCAAAAUCGGUGGCAAACGCCUUCGUGACCCAAAUGUCCCAAGAUUCCCGCCGCCCUCCAACUAUUCCCCUGAGUUACGCUGCAUUACGGGAAGAGGACGUGCUCAAGCGACGAACCCCUUGCAGGAGGCAGCAAACCAUGAGCAAAACGUUUUUCUCGCCUUAAUAUGAUUAAUAAAAACGAUUCAACGCGAUGCUUUUUUGUGUGCGGCGACGUACGUAAAGCGCAGCCGAAACGUGGACUACUUGAGCGUGUCCUUUCAUUUUAUUUUUUUUCUGAAAGAACAAAAACACAACAAGCCUCUAAUAAAAUCUUCAAGAGCAGGUGCGCUCCAUUA